AUGGAGCGUAUCGGCGACAAGGUGAUCAGCAGGGCCGAGAUCACGGACGCCGCGUCGGCCACGUUCGCGGACUCCACUGUGAUCCCCGACAGGUAUGCCCGGCCAGAUGAGGUCAGGGACGGGGUCGUCGUCGGCAGCGACGAGAGCUAUGAGCUACCGGUUGUAGACAUGGCGAGGCUGCUUCACCCGGAGUUGUCGGAAGCCGAGAUUGCCAAGCUUGGCUCUGCGUGUCGAGACUGGGGCUUCUUCCAGUUAACAAACCACGGAGUUGAUGAAACAGUUGUACAAGAUAUGAAAGAUAACACUCUGCAGUUCUUUGGCUUGCCGCUGGAGAAGAAGAAGGCAGUGGCCAUCCAAGCCAAUGGCUUCGAAGGGUUUGGACACCACUACAACAGAGCGUCGUCUGAAAAGUUGGACUGGGCAGAGAGCCUAAUCCUCGUGACGCAGCAACACGAGCAAAGGAACAUUCAGUUUUGGCCUGCCAAUCCGUCGACAUUUAGGGAUGCACUUGACAAGUACUCAGUGGAGAUGUCAAAUCUCACAAGCCGCCUUACGGUGUUCAUGGCGAGUGACCUCGGCGUUGAGCAGGAGGCCCUCAUGGGAACCUUCCAGGGCAAGACGCAGAGUGUUGCCUUCCACUACUACCCUCCGUGCCGCCACCCGGACAAGGUGAUCGGUAUCACGCCGCACCAUGACGGCCUCGGCCUGACGCUGCUGCUGCACGUGGAUGACACCCCCGGCCUGCAGGUGAGGAAAAACGGCAGGUGGUACCCGCUGAACCCGCUGCCAGGCGCCUUCGUCAUCAACGUCGGCGACAUUCUCCAGAUCCUCACCAAUGGCACGUACAAGAGCGCCGAGCACAGGGUGCUGCCGGACGUCGAGAAAGGGCGGGCCACUGUGGUGAUGUUUCAGAAUGCUUGUGUUGCCGGAAUGGUGAAGCCGCUCCCGGAGCUAGGCGAGGCGACGUACAAGGCCAUCGACCAUGUUGAGUAUGUCAAGGGGAACUUCAGCGCGCUGGCUGAAGGGACAAGAACCACGACGAGUAAAUCGGAGCGGAGGGAGUACGUUCUGAAUCUUUGUGUCGUAUAUGUAUCUGGUGGCAAUUACAAACCAGAACAUAAAAUAAAUAAACUCAGCGGGACUGAUUUUUCUAGAUCAAUCUGCUAG
rnacentral:rRNA from 1 species